rnacentral:rRNA from 1 species
GAAGGCUCUGCAACGGUGAAUGCCGAGGCACUGGAAGCCGAUGAAGGACGUGACAAACGACGAAAUGCUUCGGGGAGCUGGUAAGUACGCAGAGAUCCGGAGAUAUCCGAAUGGGGGAACCCGGCACCGUGAGGUGUCACCUUGAAUGUGAUAGAUAGCAUAAGGAGGAAGACGCAGUGAACUGAAACAUCUAAGGUACC